rnacentral:rRNA from 1 species
UACGUAGGGACCAAGCGUUGUUCGGAUUUACUGGGCGUAAAGGGCGCGUAGGCGGCAAUUCAAGUCAUCUGUGAAAUCUCCGGGCUUAACUCGGAACGGUCAGAUGAUACUGCUUUGCUAGAGUGCGAAAGGGGCAAUCGGAAUUCUUGGUGUAGCGGUGAAAUGCGUAGAUAUCAAGAGGAACACCUGAGGUGAAGACGGGUUGCUGGGCCGACACUGACGCUGAGUGCGCGAAAGCCAGGGGAGCAAACGGG